rnacentral:rRNA from 1 species
UGCCAGAGCCAUAUCUCCCUACAGUUCUCACCUGGUGUCCCACUGAAGCUAAACAGGGUUGAGUCUUGCCAGUACCUGGAAGGGAGACCUCCUGGGAAAAACUAGGGUUUUAGGUAU